rnacentral:lncRNA from 1 species
AGAAGGCGAGACCAAUGCCACCUCCAUCAUUCGAACAAGAAAUCCCACUUAUCCACAAGUAGCCGCCAUAGCUCCCGUCCAACCAAGUCAACAACAACCAUUUGCAAUUCCUGUUCAAACUCAACAACAUCAAUGCUACCAACAACCACAAUAACAACAAUAUCAACAACAACGACAAAGGAUGUGAAGGCCCGAGAGAAGAUUUGACAUAGUUCCCAUGCCAUAUAGCCACAUCCUAC